CUCCUUGGACUAGCCAGAGCAGUUUAACAGUAGGGGGCUGACAGGGGCAAAGUUGGUCUUGUAUUAAGGUAUUGGUGUAUUUACCAUCAUCACAGAAGGAAGAAAGUUAAAUCUAUCAGAGGCAAAGCUCUUUGAUGUGAUACACUCAAAAUACCACUCCCAUAAUAAAGGGGGAUAGUGCUCUGUGAAGGUAAGUUUAAAAACACAACAUUUUAGCUUUGUAUUGGCUCACUGAGGCUCUAUCUAUAUCAAAUUAAGAUCCAGCUCAAUGUCUUUUGUCCAGGCUUGAAAAUCAUCCCAGAAUGGCAAGGCAGCCAAAGAUCCUUCUGCAAAGAUCAAUUUAGCCCAGAUGCAAGUCCCUAUAGAGCAAGUCCUGAUUCUAGUCUGCAAAAACAAACUGGACACAUUUUGAGGCACUUGGAGAAUAAACCUUAAACGUUUAGUUUGGACCACUUUGACAAGUCUUACAACUUAAUAGAAGGAAACCUGGACAGCAUACAUCAGAAGGCUGAUCACUUUAGUUCAAAAUGUGUUACUGACCUUGAACAUGUCAUUACUGCUUCGGUUCCCCAUAAAGUGUAGAAUUAUAUUAGCAGUCCUCUGGGCCUGAUUAGAGACUUUUCAGUGCUUUCCUGCCUGCCUCGGAGGCCUGAAAAGUAUGUCCUAGAUAUUUGAAAGCCGUUUUUUAAAAAAAAAAAAAAAAUUAUGAUUGUAUUGUUUAUUUUUCAGCAAACUGUGUUGCUGGCAGGCCUAUUUGUGAAGAUUGCUACUUUUGUUUAACUGAUAGCAAGUCUUUCUUUAUAAAAUUGUUCACAUUGUGUAAGACAAAGGAUGGAGGUCAGUUCUCCCACUCAUAAUGGAAGAAUUCAGAGUUACACUAUAAAAUCAAUAGAAAAGUGUGUACAGGCAAAGGUCUGUGAUCCCAUCUACUGUGUUUUGUAAAUUAUACCUUAUGACUUAGUCUGAUAUCUUUUUUACUCUAUUUUGGUUUAUUCAGUAAGCCAUGAUAAAAGCAACUAUUUCUAUA